AUUGGAAUAAUAUAUAUACUAGAUAGAGGACAGAAAACACGAGACGGAGACGGACGAAAAGGCAGUGGCUUAAAGGAAAAAAUUUCAGAUUACUCUUGGAAGGAACCUUGAUGUCAAUCACGUUCCAUCAAUUAUUGGUGAUGUCGUUCCACUUUUAUUUAUUUAAUUUUGCCGUUAUGUUAGGCUAGAUCUUUUCAUGCUAGGAUUUGCAAUGAACCUUAUAUUAUGAACCCUUAAUCUUGAAUUUUAUUUAUUUGACGUUAAAACAUGUUUUUAAUUAUUGAAUGAUUGGCAUGAAUUUUAUGUUCUCUACAAUUAUAGGCGCAAUAUUUGUAUGAGACUUGUGGCUUGUUUUACUCUCGAGAGAUAGAAAAUAAGUUAGACAUUAUGUUAAUUGUCGUAAAGUCCGAUAGGGGAUAGAAAUAUACCACUAUGCUUUAUGUAAUCUUUAAGUAUUCAUAAAUCUUUAAUGCAUUUUUAGAAAUAUACCACUAUGCUUUAUGUAAUCUUUAAGUAUUCAUAAAUCUUUAAUGCAUUUUUAUAUGUUCGCAUCCGUCAUAGAAAUAUAGUCAGAUCGCAUGUGAAAAUAGGUUUAAUUCUACUUGAGAGAGAUUGUUAAACAAAUUAGGAAUAUUGGUCUUCAUAAUUGAAUCGUGUUGUCAACUUUAUAAAAUUUGGAUUAAAGGGGAUUGAUAUCAGGGGAUUCGGGAUCCUAGUAUGCAUUUCGUUAUCAUAUUUUUAUAAAACUUGCAUUUAGUUAUAAUCACGCAUUUAAUUUAGUUAAUUUAGACUUUAUAUUUAUAAGUAGGUUAUUAAAUUAUAAUUUAGUUAGCGGAAAAUUUCUAUUGUUUCGGUUAAGGCGUAGAUAAUUUAAAUUUAAACUAAUACAAUCUCCGUGGGACGAUACUUGGACUCAAAAGGUCCACUUUAUUACUUGAACGUGACCCGUGCAUUUGCGGUGUAGGAUUUUAGCGAACAAACAUCCUAUUUAUGGAAAGCAAGUCUACAUACAAUGGGUGUAUAGGAUCUUUAGAAGGCCCCCCCUUGAAAUAGCAAAAGCUGCAUUCUCUGUCCACCAUCCAUUUUUGAAAUUUGAAAGGAAUAGUCAUGGUCAGAGGAGAUCAAUCAGCCAUGCAAAAGUGCUACCUCAAACCCUAAAGAGUAGUAGGCCCAAGGGCUCUACGAAUCAAUACUACCUUAACAAUUGAAAGAAACGUGCUCAAAAAACCUCUACUAGGAAAGGAAACAUCCGAUGCUGUGAAAAAGUUGGGUUGAAAAAUCUAUUUACCAGUAAAGAUAGUUUUCCAUCUACUGGUAGAAGCAAGAUUGAGAAGUUGGCGAAAUCAAAGCUGGGCAUGAAACAUGGUCUCAGGAAUUUUUUGAGCAAAAAAUUGAAAGGCGAUCCUCAUUUUGCCUACUGCAAAACUCAGAUUACUAGUAAGGCUAAUCCCGCCAUUAUUUCUAUCAUUGAGGGCAAGAAUCUUUCUGUGAAAGAACUAUGCUUGAAGCUAGACUCUAUCUACCAACAAGGCUAUAUUUAAAGGCGAGGGCCAUCCUACCAGCAAAAUGGUGAAAAGACGAGAAUUACUCCGUCAAAGAAAGUAGGAAUAAAUUUCAUCCAUAACAAUCACAAUGUGUAAAGGAAAGCUGAUGAAGUGCACAAGGGAUUAGAGUUCAUGGUAAAAUGGGACCAUCACAAGGCAAAAGUUGGCAAAAGGAGCAAAUGAUUUCAUGAUGACUUUGGGUUUGCUCGUUUUUGGCGAAUCACUAGUCUAACUUGAUUGGAGCCGAGCCAAGGAAUAAAACACAGUGCCUUUGGCCCUGACGCAAGACCAAUUUCGGGCAAAAUCCAUCGUUUAGGCCCUCGUUUAAUCGUUUUUGCUAUUUAUGGUAAUUUUCAUUUUUGCAAUCUCUUUCCCUGAAAUUCGGAUUUAGAUUCCGUUUGUUGGAGGAUGAUCCCGAAGAUAAGUAUUUUCCAUCUUAGUAAUUAUCUCAUAUUUUCCAUUUUUGGAAAAAAAUAUCUUUUAUAUUAUUUUAUUUUCCGGAUUUUCCUAGGUUUUUUUCUAUUUAAUUAGUUGUAAGCCCUUAGAGGCAGUAGUUCCUGAAUUCAAUAAAAUCUUCCUUGAGAGUUUUCUCAAUUUGUGAUUGUUCAUCUUCCCUAUAAUAUUUCCGCUACGUCACAAGCUUAUGGCUGUCUUUAGUUACAAAUCAUCGUGAUGAAAAAGUUAAAGUGUA
rnacentral:lncRNA from 1 species